ACGCUCGACACCUACGGGAGGGAGCAGUAGGGAAUCUUCCACAAUGGACGCAAGUCUGAUGGAGCAACGCCGCGUGAGUGAAGAAGGUUUUCGGAUCGUAAAGCUCUGUUGUUGGUGAAGAAGGAUAGAGGUAGUAACUGGCCUUUAUUUGACGGUAAUCAACCAGAAAGUCACGGCUAACUACGUGCAGCAGCCGCGGUAAUCUGAGCGGGCUGGCAAGGC
rnacentral:rRNA from 1 species